AGAUCAUGAUAUGGGUAUUUUCUAACCAAUUCCUUAAAUCUUUCCCAUGAUUCAUAUGGUGAUCCCGUGUCCAUCUACAUUAAAUUUGUGACAUCAUUAUGAAGUU